GACGAACGCUGGCGGCGUGCUUAACACAUGCAAGUCGAACGGAAAGGCCCUGCUUUUGUGGGGUGCUCGAGUGGCGAACGGGUGAGUAACACGUGAGUAACCUGCCCUUGACUUUGGGAUAACUUAAGGAAACUGGGGCUAAUACCGGAUAGGAGCUCCUGCUGCAUGGUGGGGGUUGGAAAGUUUCGGCGGUUGGGGAUGGACGCGCGGCUUAUCAGCUUGUUGGGGGGGUAGUGGAUUACCAAGGCUUGGACGGGUAGCCGGCCUGAGAGGGUGACCGGCCCCAUUGGGACUGAGCUACGGCCCAGACUCCUACGGGAGGCAGAGGUGGGGAAUAUUGCACAAUGGGCGGAAGCAUGAUGCAGCAACGCCGCGUGCGGGAUGACGGCCUUCGGGUUGUAAACCGCUUUUGUCUGUGACGAAGCGUGAGUGACGGUAAUGGGUAAAGAAGCCCCGGCUAACUACGUG
rnacentral:rRNA from 1 species